GAGGAUAUAGAUCAGUGGUAGAGCAUGUGCUUGGCCUGCAUGAGGUCCUGGGUCCAAUCCCCAGUGUCUCCA
rfam:Camelus ferus unplaced genomic scaffold scaffold445, whole genome shotgun sequence.